rnacentral:rRNA from 1 species
UAAUACGAAGGGGGCUAGCGUUGUUCGGAAUUACUGGGCGUAAAGCGUGCGCAGGCGGCUAUUCAAGUCAGUGGUGAAAGCCCGGAGCUCAACUCCGGAACUGCCAUUGAAACUGUUUAGCUCGAGUACGAGAGAGGUGAGUGGAAUUCCCAGUGUAGAGGUGAAAUUCGUAGAUAUUGGGAAGAACACCGGUGGCGAAGGCGGCUCACUGGCUCGUAACUGACGCUCAUGCACGACAGCGUGGGGAUCAAACAGGAUUAGAUACCCUGGUAGUCCACGCCGUAAACUAUGGACGCUAGCCGUUGGCCAGCUUGCUGGUCAGUGGCGCAGCUAACGCAUUAAGCGUCCCGCCUGGGGAGUACGGCCGCAAGGUUG